CCUACGGGAGGCAGCAGUGAGGAAUAUUGGUCAAUGGACGAGAGUCUGAACCAGCCAAGUAGCGUGAAGGAUGACUGCCCUAUGGGUUGUAAACUUCUUUUAUAUGGGAAUAAAAUGUUCCACGUGUGGGAUUUUGUAUGUACCAUAUGAAUAAGGAUCGGCUAACUCCGUGCCAGCAGCCGCGGUAAUACGGAGGAUCCGAGCGUUAUCCGGAUUUAUUGGGGUUAAAGGGAGCGUAGGUGGAUUGUUAAGUCAGUUGUGAAAGUUUGCGGCUCAACCGUAAAAUUGCAGUUGAAACUGGCAGUCUUGAGUACAGUAGAGGUGGGCGGAAUUCGUGGUGUAGCGGUGAAAUGCUUAGAUAUCACGAAGAACUCCGAGUGCGAAGGCAGUUCACUGGACUGCAACUGACACUGAGGCUCGAAAGUGUGGGUAUCAAACAGGAUUAGAUACCCGUGUAGUC
rnacentral:rRNA from 1 species